rnacentral:rRNA from 1 species
GCGCACCAGGCGAGAAACCUCCGCAAUGCUCGAAAGAGCGACGGGGGGACUCCAAGUGCCUACGCUCAGCGUAGGCUGUUCCCGAGCCUAAAAAGCUCGGGGAGUAAGGGCUGGGUAAGACGGGUGCCAGCCGCCGCGGUAAUACCCGCAGCCCGAGUGGUGGCCGCUAUUAUUGGGCCUAAAGCGUCCGUAGCCGGCUCGGUAAAUGCCUGGGUAAAUCGUCUGGCCCAACCAGACGAAUUCCGGGUAGACUGCCGGGCUAGGGACCGGAGGAGGGAGAGGGUACUCCAGGGGUAGGGGUGAAAUCAGCAAGGUGAGUUGCUGAUGUAACUUGCCUUGCAAGUCACAAUCCUGUAAUCCCUGGAGGACCACCGGUGGCGAAGGCGCUCUCCUAGGACGGUCGACGGUGAGGGACGAAAGCCAGGGGAGCAAACCGGA